rnacentral:lncRNA from 1 species
GAGAGGAAGAAUACUCUAAGAUAUGAUUCGGGAAUCUUCGGCCGAAGUAUCGAGCGUAAUAAAGGAAAGCAUUCCUAUACGACUCAAUAGAAUCAUAUAAGAAGGAAUAAUCACAUUAGGGGUUUGACAUAAUAUAUCCAUACCCUAGUAAUGUGAUUAAGAGUAUUGUUUUAGAGAAGGAUCGAAUUACAUUGUAAUUCCAACUGAAUAGAUUCUCCGAACAACUUCUACAUUAGCUUGGGUAGCUAUGACAUAUGGUUAGAUGUCACUCAUAG